GCUGCGUGGUCACCUUGGAUACCAAGCACGCGACUUCUUGGUUGGAGAGGGUGGAGCUUUGGAGUGAGACCCAGGACGCCAAAUCCCAAAGAGAAAAAUAGGAGCCUAAAUAAGGAUCAGGACCAAGGGAAGGGGUGAAGAUACUCCUAAAUAGCCACAUAUGGAUUAAUUUUAUUUUAGAAUCGUGAAAAAUGGAAGACAGUAGCACAGACACAGAAAAAGAAGAGGAAGAGGAGAAAGAUGAAAAGGAUCAAGAGCCCAUUUAUGCCAUAGUGCCCACAAUUAACAUUCAAGAUGAGCGGUUUGUUGAUUUAUCUGAAACUCCAGCUUUCAUUUUUCUGCAUGAGUGGCUGAACUAAACUAAAGAGCCUCUUCACAGCAAAAGAAACCAUCAACAGAGUAAACAGACAAUCUACAGAAUGGGAGAAAAUAUUUGCAAACUGCAUCUGAGAAAGGUCUGAUAUCCGGAAUCUAUAAGGAACUUAGACAAAUCAACAAGCAAAAAACAAAUAACCCCAUUUUAAAAAUAGGCAAAGGACAUGAACAGACGUUUCUCAAAAGAAGACAUACAUGUGGCCAACAAAAGUAGGAAAAAGUGCUCAGCAUCACUAAUUAUCAGAGAAAUACAAGUCAAAACCACAAUGAGAUAUUAUCUCCCACCAGUCAGAAUGACUAUUAUUAAAAAGUCAAAAACAAUGGAUGCUGGCAAAGGUAUGGAGAAAAAGAAAUGCUUAUCUUUGUAUUUUUAAAACCAUGAUUUCCUUCCUCUAAUCUUAAAUUUUAAGUGAAGAGUUCACAUUUCUGUCAAAAUCCAUCAUAUGUCGAACUUUGCAAUAGAAUUUCUACUUCUCCACCACUACCCUUAAUAAUCAAAUCAAAAAUAAGGCUAAACUUGUGUCAUACAUUUGUUUGAUAUAGUAGCUACCAAAGACGUUGACUCAACAUACACUUAUGAUGUAAGGUCAUGCAUUUUUAGGUCUGACAUAAGUUGUUUGAAACCCAAUCAUACCUGAUCUUUGUACUAGUUAAAAUAACUCCUCCCCGUGUGGUGGAGAUAUAGCCCACUUGUUUCUCAUCCUGCUAAUCCCAAACCCAAAACACCCCACAGCUGCUAACCGUGAUAAAACCUAAUGAUCAACACCAGAGUCAUAUAAAUAAGUUUCCCCCUUCUGGCGUGUUUUCCUUAAACCAGCCAAUCCACAACUCCUGUUAGAAGACCGGAGGGAUAAUACCCAUAUACCUUAAUAAAGGUGAACUCCCACAGCUGCUCUCUCACUCCCUACCCACUGCUGAGCUCCCUGCCACCUCCAGACUUAUCUGCGCUCCCCAUCAGCACCCCUAAGCUGUCAGAUCUGUAAGUAAUAAAUUUCUUCUGUUUCAUGCGUUUGGUUUCACCUUCUCAUUGUUGUCAUUGUAUCUCACCUGACUCACACACAGGAACCUGACGGCCUGCCCGUCAGGGCUCUUCUAAAAAGCAGCUAUCUUGGCUUGUAGCCACUCUUCACAGAGUGACC
rnacentral:lncRNA from 10 species